CCUACGGGUGACAGCAGUGAGGAAUAUUGGUCAAUGGGCGUAAGCCUGAACCAGCCAAGUCGCGUGAGGGAUUAAGGUUCUAUGGAUCGUAAACCUCUUUUAUAAGGGAAUAAAGUGUGGUACUUGUCCUCUUUUGUAUGUACCUUAUGAAUAAGGAUCGGCUACCUCCGUGCCAGCAGCCGCGGUAAUACGAGGGGUCCUGGCGUUAUCCGGAUUUAUUGGGUGUAAAGGGUGCGUAGGCGGCCUUUUAAGUCGGCGGUGAAAGGCUGUGGCUCAACCAUAGAAUUGCCGGUGAAACUGGGGGGCUUGAGUAUGUUUGAGGCAGGCGGAAUGCGUGGUGUAGAGGUGAAAUGCUUAGAUAUCACGCAGAACCCCGAUUGCGAAGGCAGCCUGCCAAGCCAUGACUGACGCUGAGGCACGAAAGCGUGGGGAUCAAACAGGAUUAGAUACCCUGGUAGUC
rnacentral:rRNA from 1 species